AGCAUAUCAAUAAGCGGAGGAAAAGAAACCAACAGGGAUUGCCCUAGUAACGGCGAGUGAAGCGGCAACAGCUCAAAUUUGAAAUCUGGCUCCUUUGGAGUCCGAGUUGUAAUUUGUAGAGGGCGCUUUGGCUUUGGCUGCGGUCUAAGUUCCUUGGAACAGGACGUCACAGAGGGUGAGAAUCCCGUACGUGGUCGCUUGCCAUUGCCGUGUAAAGCCCCUUCGACGAGUCGAGUUGUUUGGGAAUGCAGCUCUAAAUGGGAGGUAAAUUUCUUCUAAAGCUAAAUAUUGGCCAGAGACCGAUAGCGCACAAGUAGAGUGAUCGAAAGAUGAAAAGCACUUUGGAAAGAGAGUCAAAAAGCACGUGAAAUUGUUGAAAGGGAAGCGCUUGCAGCUAGACUUGCCUUCAGUUGCUCACCCGGGCUCUUGCCCGGGGCACUCUUCUGUUGGCAGGCCAGCAUCAGUCCGGACGGUAUGACAAAGGCGUGGUAAACGUACCUCUCUUCGGGGAGGACUUAUAGGCUACGCGGCAUACUACCAGCCCGGACUGAGGACCGCGCAUCUGCGAGGAUGCUGGCGUAAUGGCUGUAAGCGGCCCGUCUUGAAACACGGACCAAGGAGUCUAACAUCUAUGCGAGUGUUUGGGUGUCAAGCCCGGGCGCGUAAUGAAAGUGAACGGAGGUGGGAACCCUUUGGGUGCACCAUCGACCGAUCCUGAUGUCUUCGGAUGGAUUUGAGUAAGAGCAUAGCUGUUGGGACCCGAAAGAUGGUGAACUAUGCCUGAAUAGGGUGAAGCCAGAGGAAACUCUGGUGGAGGCUCGCAGCGGUUCUGACGUGCAAAUCGAUCGUCAAAUUUGGGCAUAGGGGCGAAAGACUAAUCGAACUAUCUAGUAGCUGGUUCCUGCCGAAGU
rnacentral:rRNA from 1 species